UCACUCGUGGUGUAACGGCAGCACGCCGGUCUCUGGUACCGGAAGUCGAGGUUCGAAUCCUUGCGGGUGAG
rnacentral:tRNA from 1 species